AGCGAACGCUGGCGGCAGGCCUAACACAUGCAAGUCGAGCGGACGUAGCAAUACGUCAGCGGCAGACGGGAGAGUAACACGUGGGAACGCGCCCUUCGGUUCGGGAUAACCCAGGGAAACUUGGGCUAAUACCGGAUACGCCCUUACGGGGAAAGAUUUAUUGCCGAAGGAACGGCCCGCGUCCGAUUAGCUAGUUGGUGAGGUAACGGCUCACCAAGGCGACGAUCGGUAGCUGGUCUGAGAGGAUGACCAGCCUCACUGGGACUGAGACACGGCCCAGACUCCUACGGGAGGCAGCAGUGGGGAAUAUUGGACAAUGGGCGAAAGCCUGAUCCAGCAAUGCCGCGUGAGUGAUGAAGGCCUUAGGGUUGUAAAGCUCUUUUACCCGGGAUGAUAAUGACAGUACCGGGAGAAUAAGCCCCGGCUAACUCCGUGCCAGCCGCCGCAGUAACAC
rnacentral:rRNA from 1 species